rnacentral:rRNA from 1 species
CCUACGGGGGGCUGCAGUCGGGACUUUUGGGCAAUGGGCGAAAGCCUGACCCAGCAACGCCGCGUGAGCGAUGAAGGCCUUCGGGUCGUAAAGCUCUGUCGGGAGGGAAGAAGACUCUCUGGGUGAAUAAUCCAGGGGGGAGGACGGUACCUCUAGCGGAAGCGCCGGCUAAAUCCGUGCCAGCAGCCGCGGUAAUACGGAGGGCGCAAGCGUUGUUCGGAGUCACUGGGCGUAAAGCUCAGUUAGGCGUGAAAGCCCGGAGCUCAACUCCGGAACUGCACUCGAAACUGCCUCGCUCGAGUCCCGGAGAGGGUGGUGGAAUUCCCGGUGUAGAGGUGAAAGUCGUAGAUAUCGGGAGGAACACCAGUGGCGAAGGCGGCCACCUGGACGGUGACUGACGCUGAGACGCGAAAGCGUGGGGAGCAAACAGGAUUAGAUACCCGGGUAGUC